rnacentral:rRNA from 1 species
UACGUAGGGGGCGAGCGUUGUCCGGAGUUAUUGGGCGUAAAGCGCGCGCAGGCGGUCUAGCCAGUCUGGAGUGACAGUUCCCGGCUCACCUGGGAAAGGUCUUCGGAAACUGCUGGACUUGAGGGACUCAGAGGGAGACGGAAUUCCAGGUGGAGCGGUGAAAUGCGUAGAGAUCUGGAGGAACACCAAAGGCGAAGGCAGUCUCCUGGGAGUUACCUGACGCUCAGGCGCGAAAGCCAGGGGAGCGGAACGGG